CUAAGAUGUUGCGUACAAGAGGCAGAAAGUUAGCAUGGUAGAGAUCGAUUGGGUCAGCCGUCUCCCAGGUACCUAGAUACUUGAUUUUUUUUCUGUGCACCAAAGGAAUUUGGGUUUCAGAUUAUCAUAUUCCUCUGUUGGGGUUGUGAUAUUGUUGUAGAAUUAUUAGGCCUCUAUAAAUCUGUAAGACCCCUUUAAAUCCUCUUGCUAUACCUCUAAGAGGCCCCCAUAGUUUUACAAGAAAGCUUUGUCUAUAGAACAUAGAAUUUGCAUGUCAGCAAGAAAUAGCUUUGAUAAAAUGUGUAUUUACUAAAAGCCUUGAAACCUAGCCUUGAGAAACUAACAAGUGCCAGUUACGCUCUAAAUGGAUAGCUGCCAAAAGGCCCCUCCCGUCGAGUAAGCUCCUCAUGUUAGCAAAAUGGCGCUAAAACCUGGGGGAGAAAAGCAUGACGUAGAUAGUGACCUAAGAAUGGGGAGGGCAUUUUACUAACAUCUUAGCACCUAAGCCAAUUAACAAUGUCUAUUUGUCUAUAUCUUGAUUUUCUUCAAUGAUGUAAUAAUGCCUUUAAAAGGGUCUGCGCACCCAUUUUCUGGCAGAAGCCAU